GACGAACGCUGGCGGCGUGCUUAACACAUGCAAGUCGAGCGGUAAGGCCCUUCGGGGUACACGAGCGGCGAACGGGUGAGUAACACGUGGGUGAUCUGCCUCGCACUCUGGGAUAAGCCUGGGAAACUGGGUCUAAUACCGGAUAUGACCUUACAUCGCAUGGUGUUUGGUGGAAAGAUUUAUCGGUGCGAGAUGGGCCCGCGGCCUAUCAGCUUGUUGGUGGGGUAAUGGCCUACCAAGGCGACGACGGGUAGCCGGCCUGAGAGGGCGACCGGCCACACUGGGACUGAGACACGGCCCAGACUCCUACGGGAGGCAGCAGUGGGGAAUAUUGCACAAUGGGCGAAAGCCUGAUGCAGCGACGCCGCGUGAGGGAUGACGGCCUUCGGGUUGUAAACCUCUUUCGACAGGGACGAAGCGCAAGUGACGGUACCUGUAGAAGAAGCACCGGCCAACUACGUGCCAGCAGC
rnacentral:rRNA from 1 species